UGAGGAAUAUUGGGCAAUGCCCGCAAGGGUGACCCAGCAACGCCGCGUGGAGGAUGAAUGUCGUAAGAUUGUAAACUCCUGUUAGAGGGGAAGAAUAGUACCGGUUGGACCGGUAUAUGACUGUACCCUCAGAGAAAGCCCCGGCUAACUACGUGCCAGCAGCCGCGGUAAUACGUAGGGGGCAAGCGUUGUCCGGAUUUACUGGGUGUAAAGGGCGCGCAGGCGGGAUAAAAAGUCAGUGGUGAAAUCCUACAGCUUAACUGUAGAACUGCCUUUGAUACUUUUAUUCUUGAGUUCGGGAGAGAGAGACGGAAUUCCAGGUGUAGUGGUGAAAUACGUAGAUAUCUGGAGGAAUACCAGUGGCGAAGGCGCCCUUCUGGACGGUAACUGACGCUGAGACGCGAAAGCGUGGGGAGCAAACA
rnacentral:rRNA from 1 species